rnacentral:tRNA from 1 species
GCCGGUGUGAUGGAAUGGUAGACGUGACGGACUCAAAAUCCGUUGGUGGCAACACCGUGUGGGUUCAAGUCCCACCACCGGCACCA